rnacentral:rRNA from 1 species
GUGCCCAUAAGAGGGGGAGUAACAUCCGAAACGGGUGCUAAUACCGCAUAGUUUUCUUUGAUCGCAUGAUUGAGAAAGGAAAGACGGCCUUUGUGCUGUCGCUUAUGGAUGGACCCGCGGCGUAUUAGUUAGUUGGUGAGGUAACGGGCUCACCAAGACGAUGAUACGUAGCCGACCUGAGAGGGUGAUCGGCCACAUUGGGACUGAGACACGGCCCAAACUCCUACGGGAGGCAGCAGUAGGGAAUCUUCCGCAAUGGACGAAAGUCUGACGGAGCAACGCCGCGUGAGUGAAGGUAAAAGGGUUUUCGGAUCGUAAAACUCUGUUGUCAGAGAAGAACAAGUUGGAGAGUAACUGCUCCAGCCUUGACGGUAUCUGACCAGAAAGCCACGGCUAACUACGUGCCAGCAGCGGC